rnacentral:rRNA from 1 species
GACGAACUGUGCAAACGUUAUUCGGAAUCACUGGGCUUAAAGGGUGCGUAGGCGGUCUUGUAAGUAGGGUGUGAAAGCCCCCGGCUCAACCGGGGAACUGCGUCCUAAACUGCGAGGCUUGAGUGAGGUAGGGGUGUGUGGAACUUCCAGUGGAGCGGUGAAAUGUGUUGAUAUUGGAAGGAACGCCGGUGGCGAAAGCGACACACCGGACCUUGUCUGACGCUGAGACGCGAAAGCCAGGGGAGCGAACGGG